GCACAAAGAAAAUGUACACAAAACACUGAACUCCUCACCAUCAUCGAGAGGACGCGCUGACACUGCUCCGCCCCUCCCCCGCUCUAACCCUAGCGCCGCGGCUCGUCGCCGAUCCCGAUCACCUCCGUCGUCGUCGCCGCUCCGUUCAGCCGCUGCAGCCGAUCGCAGGACUCGCCCUCGUCGCAGAACACUCCAAGAUCCGACCGCCCUUCUCCCCGACCUCGCACGGCAGUCCGUCGUCCGUCACUCCUCUCUUUUCCAUGGCCGUGACUAGACCACCGCUAGGCCGCCGCCUACCGCGCGAUUCCGGCGGGCCCGGUUGCGCCGUGCCCGUGGAGGCCGGGCGCAAGGAGGAGGAGGAGCAGAAGCAGCGCGGAAGGAGGCACCCGAGGCUGAACCGGCCGCCAUCGAGGAGUAGGAGGCAAAAACCAGCACCGUAGAGUCAGUGCUCACUGAAGAUGGGCCUGAUGCCCCUUUAUUUGACAGUACUUUAGUUGCUUCUGCUCAUGAUCAGGGCAUACCAAGAUAUUUUGAUCCUGGGAGAUACCUUGCUGAGGAGGGAGGAUCAUGUAGUUGUGAGCUAUCCAAUGAAAAGGCGGAAGAAGCCUUGCUUUGUUUGUGGGUUGUUUGGACACAAUUCAAAGCAGUGCAUGCAGAACUUGCUCUGUUUUGGGCUGCACUGGUGUCAAGGAUUUUGAAUUAGCGACAAUGGGGACCAAAAUCGGUGGCAAUGGGGAGCAAAAUCAGCAGCUGACAUUUGACCAGGAUACCCACACUGACAAGCUUCAGCAUUGGCAACACCAGGCAAAAUCCAUCGCCCUGUUUUCUUGCAAAUCAUAUGGUAGAUGUAAUUACAUAUAGUUUAGUGGUAGAAUUAUAGCAUGAUUUAUUAGUUGGGAUGCCAGAGCAAUUGCCAAUAAUCCUGGUUAGGGAGAAAAAAAAAGCUAAUGCAAGUUUUCUAUAUUGCAAUAGCUGAUUUAAAUGGGAAAAUAUUUCUAUGACUGCCUUAUUGGGCUAGCUAUACCGAUAACUUCGUUGCUAAUGUACCAUUGCUACCUUGGUAGAACACCACUGCAAAGGCCUGGUUAUUCAACAUAUGGUUUUCUUCUCCCUGGGUGAAUAUUUCUCGCCUGUUGACACUUUGCUUUACUGACUUUUGAUAAUACUACAAAUAGCACCACUUGCCUGUAUUAUUUUAAUUAUCUUAGCUCAGCUCACACCUAAAUUAUAAAGUGUGGUGGAAAGAACUACAUAUAGUUUUUUCUACCACUAAACUCUUGAUGCAUUCAUGCUUUUGGCCUUGAUUUGGCAUAUUGAUAGGAAUUGGGCUACUAAUGAAAAUCUCAGACAAUGGUGUUUGUGCCAAAUGGGUCAACGUCCUUUUCUAUUGCUGUGUAGGUUGACUGGUAUGUACAUUCGAUCUAUUUUCCUUUUUGAGUAUGGUACAUUGAUUUGUCUGUGGGCUCAUAUGCUUCAAUUUAAUUUCCCUAUAAGUUUGGUUUCCUAAUUUCAUUACAUUGUUCUCCAUUUGAAGUUCAAACAUAAUGAGCCUUGGAAUAUGGUACUGGUGUAUACAAAUAUAAAGCAUUCCUAGAGUACUAUUCCCACCAACCACCACUCAGUCAAAUUUCUUCCAAUCUUACCCCAACCACCCUCCUAUUCUCAGUUAGGAGGGCACCAUAGUCUUUUCUCCUUAACCUUAAUCUCUGCUAAAAACCUAGAAAUGUUUAUAUUUGGGAACAGAGGGAGUAGAGGUGACCAAACAAUAUUUUAUGCCCCUUAUCCACCCAAUACAAAAAUAUAUGCGACAUACACCACGAUUGCCAAGUAAAUACAGGAAGUUGCAAGAGCUGACUGUAGUACUAAGAAAAUGUGAAUUGAGUUUUCCCCAUGUUAUUUUGCUAAAAUUAUGCUUCUUUACUUGGAUAUUUUAAUCUUUGCAGUUUUGGUGUGUUUUAUGAAGCAAGGUCGAAUACAAGAAUCAAUAGGAUGAAAAUUAUCAAUGCAGUAUCCAAAUCUGUUCCUCAACCUCACAAGGUUGACCUUAACAGUCCAAACAGGAUUAUUAUUGUGCAGAUUGAGAAGAACCUAUUGGAACAGUUGUUUAUUCAAAUGAAUACAACAUGUUUGGAAUUUAGAGUUUGAUUUCUGGCAAACAAUUUAUAUAGCUCCAAGGCCUGAUCCAUGACUCAAGCACAUGGGCGGUUAAAGCUUUGUAACUUCAGAAUUUAAUGCUAUUAUAUGUAUGGUUGGAGUGAUCGAGAGGUACACAGUGCUCGCAAAGUUCAAUCUAAAGCAGCUGACCUCACCACCGCAGAAGCAGCUAAUGGGCCAACUUGAAUUAGAUUCGGCAGCAGUUAGUUGUUGGUUGAGCCGUGGCAGUCACUGUUAAAAGAUCAAAUGUACUCGUAUCCAUCGAAGGCCGCGACAGUUGUAAAGCACCCUGAAAUAUUUUGAUGUUGUGCCGCCAAACUGGCUUCCACGGGGACUACAAAUCGAUCUAAAUCUGCCAAUUAAAUCUAUAUUCAUUCAGCAAAAGCAGUUAAACUAUGAAGCCUAAAAAGAGAGUUUAUUACUGUUGUUAUUUUUUCUUUUUUCUUCGAAGACAAAAAGAGAGACAUUCAUGGAUGUUACGCUCAACUGAGAUGAAACCUGUGAUGUCUGUUUUCAUUGAUGCCUGGCGUGUGCGUGUCCAUGUGCUCACUGGCAUUUUGAUUCAUUCAGUGUUUGUAUUGUAGAGCUAAAUAGAAUCGGUAUUUUUUUUAUUA